UACGUAGGGGGCAAGCGUUGUCCGGAUUUAUUGGGCGUAAAGAGCGUGUAGGCGGCUAGGUAGGUCCGUUGUGAAAACUCGAGGCUCAACCUCGAGACGUCGAUGGAAACCAUCUAGCUAGAGUCCGGAAGAGGAGAGUGGAAUUCCUGGUGUAGCGGUGAAAUGCGCAGAGAUCAUGAGGAAGACCAGUGGCGAAGGCGGGUCUCUGGACAGUUCCUGACACUGAGACACGAAGGCCAGGGGAGCAAACGGG
rnacentral:rRNA from 1 species